rnacentral:rRNA from 1 species
UACGAAGGGGGCUAGCGUUGCUCGGAAUCACUGGGCGUAAAGGGUGCGUAGGCGGGUCUUUAAGGCAGGGGUGAAAUCCUGGAGCUCAACUCCAGAACUGCCUUUGAUACUGAGGAUCUUGAGCUCGGGAGAGGUGAGUGGAACUGCGAGUGUAGAGGUGAAAUUCGUAGAUAUUCGCAAGAACACCAGUGGCGAAGGCGGCUCACUGGCCCGAUACUGACGCUGAGGCACGAAAGCGUGGGGAGCAAACAGG